CUCGGACGUCACGCUGGCCGGUCCUAACUCUACCACGCGGGGGAAACCCAGUCUAAAAAGCGGUCCAAACUCAACUUUGCUAUAAGCCUGUGGUGACCAUCACAAUGAGAUAUCCACCAGGGUUAGAAAGAUGGCUCAGCAGUUAAGAGCACUUGUUCUGUCAGAGGACCUGUGUUGAAUUUUCAGCACCCACAUGGCAACUCACAAUUAUUUAUAACGCCAGUUACUUGGGAUCCAACACCCUCUUCUGGCCUCUUAGACACCAGUCCUCAUUCCUUCACUUGAGACCCUGUUGAUUGACUGAGCUGGCUUGGUUAGUGACUGAUUGAUGCUGCUUUGUCAGAUGUGAUGUCCUUACUUGAGCAGAUUAGUACAUCUCCUGCUGUAUGAUAUGGAGCUAUUGAUCUAGCAAAUGCUUUCUCUGGGUACCUUUUCACAAGGAAGAUGAAGCAAUUUGCCUACAGCUGGCAA
rnacentral:lncRNA from 1 species